UGAUGACGUCACGUAGUAACGCUUGGCUUCCUCUCCCUAGAGACCAGCCGCCUCGCGUUUCCUCAGCCCGGGAGCCCGACUUGUUCGUGCAGUGUCGUUCGUAGCCAGAGAAGUGGAAAAAGAUAAUGCCAAGAGAGAAAAAUAAAGCAGACCAUCAGAAAUUGUGUGUGCAGAGAUGGAGGGGAGAACGACUACACUGAUUCAUAAUAGCUUUCCAAUUCCUGGUUCUAAUCCAUAGUGAGGUUCAGCUAUACUUCCUAUUCGUAGAUCCAUGAGAUGUACCUGCAGCCAUCCAAUAAAUUCUCUGUGUGCCUUGGCCUAGUUUGGAUGUGAUUUUGUGUACCUAAAAGUAUGUGGAUAUGACACCUGGAGUUGUGGCAAUCAAUUGUGUGAACAUGAGAAGCACAAUGGUGACAGAUACAAUGACAAAAGCCAACAGUAAGGGUAAUGAAGUAGAAAUAUAUCAGGAAGAUGAAUUCUUGGUUAUAGAGUUAAGCUGCUAUGCCAGUACUGACCUGCAUCUCCAUUUCUCUUGUUGGAUAUUAGAAGACUUAAGUCUCUACAAGACUGUGCUAACACCUUACUUCAUUCUGUAUUCAGAAGAGAAUUUUCCUGUGCACUUUAGAGAACACACCAAGGACAAUGACAAAGCAGAGCCCCAUCAAGAUACCAAACCUUCGCAUCAGCUAAUUUGAAGUUCUAUUUUCUUCAGGGAAAAAGAGAUAAUAUAGAUUUUUGUCUGUUAUACACUGCUACCAAAAUGUGAGGAUGUCCUCUAUAGUCAUGUGGCUUACAUAAUAAUACCUUAGUCUACUUGGUGUUCUGAUACCAAAUCUUGUCAAUUCAUUUAUUAACCUUUUCUAUUUAGGAUGUAUUAACCAUAUUUACAGGUAUUAUACAUGAUAUGUUAUAAAUGUUGCAGGCAAAAAUUGUGUUCAAUCCAUUUAUAAAAGUUAAGAGCUCCUACCAAACCACUAUAAUCUCUCAAAAUACAUCUGUGUGCUGAUUUAGAGCCAUAAAGUGGAAAUAACAUCAUUAAGGGUAAUAAUAUCAAUUUGAUCUAGGAUUGACUGGCAGACUUCAAAGUCUGAAAUAUAUCUUUGUCCAGCCUUCUACACAGCAAUUAGGCUCCCUAAAGUGCUCUAAUUCAUACCAAACAACAUUUUAAGCAGUAUUUGGGUCCAUUUUCCACUGCAUCCUAAAUAAAAUAGGAUUUUCCCAGGGACCCCUGGGUGGCUCAGUCAGUUAAGCAUCUUGAUUUCAGCUCAGGUCAUGAUCUCAGGGUCAAUAUAUUGACCCUGCAUCAGACUGUGUCAGCAUGGAUCUGCUUGAGAUUCUCUCUCACUCUCUCUCUCUUCCUCCACCCCUCCCCCUGCUCAAGUGUGGCUCUCUCUCUCUCUCUCAAAUAAAUAAAAUCUUUUGUAAAAAAAAAAAAAUUAAAAAUAGGGUUUUCCUGACCACCAAUGAUUGAGGCUAAUGAACUUAUUUUCAAUCCUAUUAGAGGCGAUCUACUAACCAUAACUCAGCACCAUUGAAGUGAUAAUCACUAAUUGCUUCCAUCUCAGCUUUUCCAGUCUUUGCUACUCUUUAAAACAGAUAAAAAUAUUUUUGCAUAAAAAAUAUUCAUUUGGGGCAUAAUUAUUCUGAGUAGUUUAAAAACUGGUAUUUUGAUUUGAUUAGGAAUACAAAGAGCUCUUUUAAUUACCAGAAGAAGUUUUGUCAAUUACUCAAAGAGUUUAUUAUAUUAAUGCCACAUUGAAUCUCUUUUGCAAAUUUCUAAUCAUGUGCAAUAAUUACAGUUUUAUUUAACCAAGGUUAUUUAUGUGAAAGAACAUGCUGGCAAGGUGCUGUUGAGAAUGACAUUUUUAAUAGGUAUCAGUUACCAGUAUAACAAAAUAAACACCAUUUUGAUGCAGUACACUGUUUGCUGAUGAAAUAUAUAUAUAUAUAUUUAAAAUUCUAUAUUUCUAUAUUUCUAUAAUGCUUUUCCGAAGUACAACUAUUUGCCAGUUUUCCAGGGUCCACUUUCCAGUUUUCUAGAGCUAUCUUAUAUUUGACAAUACUGGACAAAGAGCAGAAUAGUGGAAGAAAAUAGUGUGCUUAGUAGUUGAUGCUUAUUAGUUUGUGAUGCUGUAUAGUUAAAAGGAAAUUCUAUUAAGCCCACCCCACCAAUCCCUUCUGGAUUAUAGAAUUAAUUGAGAAUGUUUUCUUAGUGGGUUCCCCUCUCUUUGUAGGUUAUGAAUCACAUUAAUCAGUUUUUUCCGAACAGACUCUAAAAUGGCCCAAGAUUAUCUUUGUCUCUUGGUAUUCAUCCCCUUUAUAAAUCUGCUCCCUUUAAGUGUGACCAGGACCCAUAAAUAGGUUCUAACCAAUAGAAUACAACAACAGUGCUAGAAUGUCACUUCUGUGAUUACAAUAUGUAAGAUUGUAACUUCUGGCUUUCUAGGAAACUUCCUAGCUGGCUUUGACAAUGCAAGCUUGCCAUGGUAUGAACUGCUUAUGGAAAAGGCCAUGUGGCAUGCAACAGGUGACAGCAAAGAACUGAGGUCCUCAGUCCAAAAGCCUGCAAGGAACUGAAUUUUGCCAACAACCAUAUUAGAUUGGAAGUAGAUCCUUCCCAAGGUAGCUUUCAAAUGAGACUCCAGCCCUGGAUGACCCCUUAAUAAGUAUGUGUUCUUUGGGGCACCUUGAUGGCACAAUUGGUUAAAUAUCCAACUCUUGAUUUUGGCUCAGGUUGAUUUCAGGGAUGUGAGAUGGAGCCCCACAUCAGGCUUCAUGCUUAGCUUGGAGUCUGAGAUUCUCUCUCUCCUCCUCUCCCUUUGCACCUCCUCCCUCCCCAUGUUCUUUCUCUCACUCUCACUCUCAAAUAAAUAAAUCUUUUUUUCUUUAAAAAGCGUAUUAAGUUACCAAGUUCUGGUAAUUGGUUAUGCAGCAAUAGAUAACUAAUACUCAGUAACCCAGAUUUUAGUAAUAAUAUAGUCAAGGUAAAGGUUCUCGUAUGGAAUUUUUUUUAAUUACAGAGAUAUAAUUGAUGUGUAAUGGCAAUCUUUUUUGCCAUAUAAAAAUAUGCAUAUUUUGUUAAGAAAUUUUGAACCUAUGUUGAUAAUUUUAAGUGUUAUUACUUGAGUAUUAAUUGUUAUAUUAACAAACUACAUAGAGUAAUGUUUUAAUAUGAGAUACUGGAGAAUAGACACAUGGAGGUAGUAAAAUGAAAACGAUCUUUGCUUCAUAAAUCAAGUUCUGUUUUUCUUAGUAACAACUGAACCCACCUUUUUUUUAAAGCAGGCUUCAUGCCCACCGUGGGGCUUGAAUUCAUGAUUCUGAGAUCAAAAGUCCCAUGUUCUAUGUACUGAGCCAGCCAGGUGCCCCUUGAAUCCACUUUUGGUAACAACUGAAUUUACUUUAUAAUGAAAGAAAAACGCUGUCUAGCAUUACAGUUCUACUUUUUUGCUCUUCUCUCAUGAGCAAAUACUUUCCCUUCAGCUAUGUAAGAAAUUAGAGUUGCAACUUCAUUAUCUACAUUAGCAGAUCAUCAUCAUUCUUAAAUAAUUGCACUAAUCUGGAUACAAGUAUAAAGAAAGCAAUUUUUGUACUUAAUAUUUAAAUAAAAAGUAAUACAAACAAGAAUUUUCCAAUGAUACUCUAAAUAACAGCUCACUGCAAAAAUGUAAAUCAGCCCAGUUGAUGAAAGAUGAUUCAGUAUCUUUGAAGCAUUUAAUCCUAUUGCACAUAUAUCAUUAUAGUUAUCUACACCCCAGGAAAAAUAUAAUAAUGCCCAUUAGAAUCUUUGGAGACAAGCCAAGUCAAUACUGCAGAGAAUUAUGCAGAAUUUAUCCCUAAAAUAUUUUCAUAGAAUAUUUCUCCAUUGAGCCAUAUCUGUACAAUUAUUAUUAUUUACUGAAUCUUAUAUCUGAAAGAUUUUCAAAGCAUUUUCACACAUUAUCCUUUCAGGUUUCACAACUGCCAUGAAGUUGUCAGGGAAGUUAUUAGUCCCAUUUCUAGACAAGAAAAUAAAAUACUGGAGAUGUUAGUAUAUUUGUUUUAGGAUAAAUUGUUGAAAACAAAAUGGAAAUACAGGUCUCUCAUUACCUUUACAGGAAUAUUGUUUAAAAAAAAAAAAACAGUAUUCCAUUUGGACCAGCUAUCACAAAAGAAGCACUUGGGUAAAAUAGCACCACCUCUGUACAAAGAAAUCUAGAUACCUACUUGACUAAUUCAGUAGGCAUUUCCACCUCUAAGCUUCUCAUACAAAUUUGGGCUUCACUAGCUUUAGUUUAAAGUAAUUUAUUUCAGAGGCCCAUAAACAUAUUUAAUGGCCUUCUCUUGAACUGCACUGAAAUCAUAUUUUAAUUUAUAAGGUAUUCAAAUUUUCAUUAAAAUAUCAUUCAUGUCCCAUUUGUAAUAGUUUAUAAUCCUUUGCUGUUCAUAAUUUUAUCAUUCCU